GAAGCGCCUGCAGACAUCAUAAAACAUAACCAUGUAUGUCAGAAAUCAAAUACUUCUAUUAUGAAAAGUUCUCAUUACUAACAUUGUUGACAAGAAAGUGAUUAUCCUAGUAUUAACCAUGUAAUAGAAAGCGCAUAGAAAACUCUGCCUCCAUAUUGAUAAGUUAUGUUAAAAUAUCUUCCAGAUAGAGCUGGGUCAUUGAGCUCUUUCACCACAAGUGACAAAUG
rnacentral:misc_RNA from 1 species